CCUACGGGGGGCAACAGUGGGGAAUAUUGCGCAAUGGGCGAAAGCCUGACGCAGCGACGCCGCGUGAGGGAUGAAGGUCUUCGGAUCGUAAACCUCUGUCAGCAGGGAAGCACGGUCACUGUGCUAAUCAGCAGUUAAUUGACGGUACCUGCAAAGGAAGCACCGGCUAACUCCGUGCCAGCAGCCGCGGUAAUACGGAGGGUGCGAGCGUUAAUCGGAAUUACUGGGCGUAAGGCGCUCGUAGGCGGUAUGUCAAGUCAAGGGUGAAAUCCCCGCGCUCAACGUGGGAACUGCCUUUGAAACUGGCAAACUGGAGUGUGUGAGAGGAUAGUGGAAUUGCAGGUGUAGGAGGGAAAUCCGUAGAUAUCUGGAGGAACAUCAGUGGCGAAGGAGACUAUCUGGCACAUAACUGACGCUGAGGAGCGAAAGCGUGGGUAGCAAACAGGAUUAGAUACCCCAGUAGUC
rnacentral:rRNA from 1 species